rnacentral:rRNA from 1 species
UACAGAGGGUGCAAGCGUUAAUCGGAAUUACUGGGCGUAAAGCGUGCGUAGUCGGCUUUUCAAGUCGGGUGUGAAAGCCCCGGGCUCAACCUGGGAAUUGCAUUCGAUACUGGAUAGCUAGAGUUCGGCAGAGGGAAGUGGAAUUUCAGGUGUAGCGGUGAAAUGCGUAGAUAUCUGAAGGAACAUCAGUGGCGAAAGCGACUUCCUGGACCAGAACUGACGAUCAGGCACGAAAGCGUGGGGAGCAAACAGG